CUCUUUCUCGAUUCAGUGGAUGGUGGUGCAUGGCCGUUCUUAGUUGGUGGAGUGAUCUGUCUGGUUAAUUCCGAUAACGAACGAGACUCUCCCCUGCUAACUAGUCGGUUGGAUCUUGAUCAGUGGGUUGAGUGCCGAGUAACUCUCGCUGUGCGUGGUGUGCGUCUCGUUCCUCACGGUUCGUUGCGUGCUCAUGUGUGGCGUUGGAUGCCUUGGAUCACACUGCACCCCAAGUCCGCCGCUUUGCUAUAACUCUUCUUAGAGGGAUUCACGGCACUGAAGCCGCAAGAGACUGAGAGCAAUAACAGGUCUGUGAUGCCCUUAGAUGCUCUGGGCCGCACGCGCGCUACAAUGCCGGGCACAGCAGGUGUUUCUCCUGCUCCGACAGGAGCGGGUAACCCUCUGAAAGCCAGUGUUCUUGCAAGUGCUUCCUCCCUCGUGGAGUUGCACAGAGGCGUGCUUGGGCCUGGGACUUGCAAUUCUUUCCCACCAACGAGGAAUGCCUAGUAGCGGCGGGUCACUGAGCCCGCUGUGACUCAGUCCCUGCCCUUUGUACACACCGCCCGUCGCUACUACCGAUUGGGUGUACCAGUGAGAGCCUUGGACUGGCGUCCGUUGUUGCUCGCAAGAGUGACAAGCGGGUCCGACGGAAAGAGGUCCGAA
rnacentral:rRNA from 1 species